rnacentral:rRNA from 1 species
UACGUAGGGGCUAGCGUUGUCCGGAAUCAUUGGGCGUAAAGAGCGUGUAGGCGGUCCGGUAAGUCCGCUGUGAAAGUCGGGGGCUCAACCCUCGAAUGCCGGUGGAUACUGUCGGGCUAGAGUGCGGAAGAGGCGAGUGGAAUUCCUGGUGUAGCGGUGAAAUGCGCAGAUAUCAGGAGGAACACCGGUGGCGAAGGCGGGUCUCUGGGCCGAUACUGACGCUGGAGGAGCGAAAGCGUGGGGAGCGAACAGG